UACGAAGGGGGCUAGCGUUGCUCGGAAUCACUGGGCGUAAAGCGCGCGUAGGUGGUUCGUUAAGUUGGAUGUGAAAUCCCCGGGCUCAACCUGGGAACUGCAUUCAAAACUGUCGAGCUAGAGUAUGGUAGAGGGUGGUGGAAUUUCCUGUGUAGCGGUGAAAUGCGUAGAUAUCAAGAGGAACACCUGAGGUGAAGACGGGUUGCUGGGCUGACACUGACGCUGAAGCGCGAAAGCUAGGGGAGCAAACGGG
rnacentral:rRNA from 1 species